rnacentral:rRNA from 1 species
AGCGAACGCUGGCGGCAGGCCUAACACAUGCCAGUCGAACGAACCUUUCGGGGUUAUUGGCGGACGGGUGAGUAACCCGUGGGAACGUGCCUUUAGGUUCGGAAUAACUCAGGGAAACUUGUGCUAAUACCGAAUGUGCCCUUCGGGGGAAAGAUUUAUCGCCUUUAGAGCGGCCCGCGUCUGAUUCGCUAUUUGGUUGAGGUAAUGGCUCACCAAGGCGACGAUCAGUAGCUGGUCUGAGAGGAUGAUCAGCCACAUUGGGACUGAGACACGGCCCAAAAUCCUACGGGAGGCAGCAGUGGGGAAUCUUGCGCAAUGGGCGAAAGCCUGACGCAGCCAUGCCGCGUGAAUGAUGAAGGUCUUAGGAUUGUAAAAUUCUUUCACCGGGGACGAUAAUGACGGUACCCGGAGAAGAAGCCCCGGCUAACUUCGUG